GAUGAAGAACGCAGCGAAAUGCGAUAAGUAAUGUGAAUUGCAGAAUUCAGUGAAUCAUCGAAUCUUUGAACGCACAUUGCGCCCGCCAGUAUUCUGGCGGGCAUGCCUGUUCGAGCGUCAUUACAACCCUCAGGCCCCGGGCCUGGCGUUGGGGAACGGCGGAGCCCCCCGUGGGCACAUGCCGUCCCCCAAAUACAGUGGCGGUCCCGCGGCAGCUUCCAUCGCGUAGUAGCUAACACCUCGCGACUGGAGAGCGGCGCGGCCACGCCGUAAAACACCCAACUCUUCUGAAGUUGACCUCGAAUCAGGUAGGAAUACCCGCUGAACUUAAGCAUAUCAAUAAGCGGAGGA
rnacentral:misc_RNA from 1 species